UACGGAAGGUCCGGGCGUUAUCCGGAUUUAUUGGGUUUAAAGGGAGCGCAGGCCGCCUUUUAAGCGUGUUGUGAAAUGUCCCGGCUCAACCGGGUCACUGCAGCGCGAACUGGUUUCCUUGAGUACGCACAAAGUGGGCGGAAUUCGUGGUGUAGCGGUGAAAUGCAUAGAUAUCACGCAGAACUCCGAUUGCGAAGGCAGCUUACCGGCGCUCAACUGACGCUGAGGCUCGAAAGUGCGGGUAUCGAACAGG
rnacentral:rRNA from 1 species